AACGGGUGAGUAACACGUGGGCAACCUGCCCAAAAGAGGGGGAUAACACUUGGAAACAGGUGCUAAUACCGCAUAACCAUAGUUACCGCAUGGUAACUAUGUAAAAGGUGGCUAUACUACCGCUUUUGGAUGGGCCCGCGGCGCAUUAGCUAGUUGGUAGGGUAAAGGCUUACCAAGGCAACGAUGCGUAACCGAAUUGAGAGGUUGAUCGGCCACAUUGGGACUGAGACACGGCCCAAACUCCUACAGGAGGCAGCAGUAGGGAAUCUUCCACAAUGGGCGAAAGCCUGAUGGAGCAACGCCGCGUGGGUGAAGAAGGUCUUCGGAUCGUAAAACCCUGUUGUUAGAGAAGAAAGUGCGUGAGAGUAACUGUUCACGUUUCGACGGUAUCUAACCAGAAAGCCACGGCUAACUACGUGCCAGCAGCCGCGGUAAUACGUAGGUGGCAAGCGUUAUCCGGAUUUAUUGGGCGUAAAGGGAACGCAGGCGGUCUUUUAAGUCUG
rnacentral:rRNA from 1 species